UAUUGUGCUGCGUUGGCUGACGGUUCGUUUUCGGCAAGAUGUAGCUUUCCUGAAUCUUUUAUUAGGUUACUUUAAUUUUAGUGGUGACGAACGAUAGCUAAGACUAAUAUGUAACAGGUCUCGUGUGAAGAYUGUAGUAUGGAAGUUUAAAUUGAUCAGAUAAAGUAGCUAUCUAACGUUACCGCUAGCUUGUCUUUCGACGCCUACAUUAUUUGUUGCCUCAUAGCUUUUUUGCGAUUGUUGCUUUUACUUGAGUACUGAAUUACUUACGAUUCGUAUGCAYUAACAUUAACAGUAUAGCUGUAAGAAACGAUCAAGCUGACGUGUCCGUCUCAAAAGAUGAACGCCACAACGAGGUUAUCGUUAGGUGCCAGGGUAUUGUUGUCCUCGUCAGUUACGUAGUUAAACACAGAAGAAUGCUUAUUUUUCUACGCUAAGUAACAGCGAAAAAGUCACAUUUGUUAACUACGGUACCUAGCCAAGAAGGCUUCUUUUCCAAACAAAAUGAGCGUGUUGUGGCGCAGUUGUAGGCCUGAUUAAAAAAAUCGCGACGUGUGAAGAUAUAGUGGAGAAAUGGCUGCCCGGGUGAUUCAGUGCUGGUGCAGCUAUCUGAAGUCAAUUUUUUUUGAAGAUCAUGAAAGAAUCAGGUUGUAUAAGUGUCAUUGAAAGAACCAAGUUACAAGACCAGAACUUUAUGAAAGGAGUGAAGCCAUUCGAAUAGCCAGUUAAAUAUUUGAAUAGAAGUUGAGCGUAGGUCCCACUUAUCCGAGACAGUAUAGCUAUUUCAAUGCGGAUAGUAAUUUGUUAACUUAAAAUGACGACUAGCUUACAAGAGAAGAAUUUUGAACCCUUGGGAAUGGGCAGUAAAAUAUACCAUUUACAAGACGAGCAUCUUCUGAAGAAAUGAGAAUGGCCAGCUAAAUAUUUGAUCAAGUUAAGCGUAGGUCCCUUAUAUCGGAGGCAGUUUAUAUYCUUCAAUGCGUUAGAAGUGUUGCUUUUAAUUGGUUGCGCAUCAGGAAAUGCAAUUUAUAGUGGAAAAGGAACCAAGGUACAAGACUAACCUUUUCAAAAGUUUACGCUCUGAUUAUAGCCAGCAAAAAAUGGCUUAGGUUUUAUGUAAACUGAGUAAGUGCUGGUAGUUUGUCUCGUAUCAGUAUAGGCAACAUGUGAAAUAACCAAGUUACUGAUCUUGAACCAUAUGAGAAGUUGUGAAGCCUCUUGAAUAGCCUAUUGGAUUUUGGGCUGCAGUUGCCUUUUGAUCAUUUGAGUUAUUUUUUAUUUUUUUAACCUGAAGCGAAGUACAAUAUGUGCUUAAGAUGGGAAACCUUAUUUCAAUAGCAAACUAAAUAUUGGAAGAUAAUUUAACCAACAGUGCCUGUUAGUCAUUUAAGCUGCUUCAAGAAGUAAAAAUGUUUUGAGCCUAAAACGAACAAGAUGUGAUGCCGAUUACAUUUCCAAGUACAGCAGUUGCUUUGCUAGCACUAGCGGUAGUUCAAGGAGUUGCAGGCUCGUGACGUUGCUUUGUCACGCUUUGAUUAACUUUUUCUAAACACAAUUGGCUCUAGUUGGCGAAGAAAAGAAGAUUUCUGUAGAAGAAUGGACUGAGUUUGUUUUUUGAAGGGGUGGGGGGGGCACUUAGCUAGUAGGCAGUUUGUGAUCAGACGAGGAAGGACGACUUCAGGAUCAGGCAAGAACCAGGCAGAGGGAAACUGGGAGGACCAGCGGGGAGCCAGGCAGGAUCCAGGUGGAUUGCGGGAGGAGCAGAUGGGACCCAGUUGAGCGAGCGGCACGCAGCAGAGUUCAUCAGAGGGAGCGAGCCAGAUGGCAGGGUAGCGAUCAUCCCAGAGUGAGCUGAGAGCGGAGCAGUCCCAGGUCGAGCGUUGCCCUAAAGCAGCCAGUGGGUCCCAGCAGCAAUGAGGCAGACGAGAAAGGGUCAACUAGCUUCGCAAGUGACAAUAAAAGUGUUUGUAUGAUGGGUAGCGGUAUACAGUAAUGUUUAACUAGGCCAAAAAUCUUUGCAAUUAGUCAAUAUUAAAUCUCAACACAUUUGCUCGCGAAGUUUUCUUCCUCUUUCAGGUAAUGGUAAAGUGUUAAUUUUCCUGGUUGCGGCCCCUUCCUGUGUGAUGUCUGCUGUGAUGAGUCCCCCUUGGCCUACUUGGUAGAGUGCACUGGCGAGAGGACUGUCUUAAAGGAUUUCACCCUCCUGCAGCGCAGAUGUAGUACCCCCCCUGGGCGGAGGAGUUUCUUCUUCAUUGAGUUCAAUAGGUCUACCCCCCUGAGAAGUGGUCUACAUGGCAGUGUUGAGAGUCGAAAUUCUUCUGUACGUUCGUGCUGCUUUGGUGCUGAGCAGCUACAUCUGCUGGUUAAAGUGAGCAGUGAGUUUAAAUGCAUGAGAUGAUCAUGUGGGGAGUAACUAUUCCCUUCAAUAAAUAUUGAUAUCAAAUUUCUAUUUGCCUUUGUAAUGGUAACUGAAAGGGAUUAUCCCUGCAUUUAAUUUGUAGUAUUGGUCAAACUGUGGUGCAUUUGUGGAUGGUGGGGGGGAGACUUUUUCCGAGUUCUUCUUUUCACAGGCUCGCACCUUAAAGCAAACCUGACCAUCCAAGGGAGUCCCUCUUUAGUACAGCCCACCACAUUAAUCAAAACGGUUGAGCACGUCCCCUAACAGAUAAUUCUAAGGAUGGAUCAAGGGAAACCUCUGGUGUUAAAGUCACGUAGGAAGGUAUUUUGUGCUGGUUUUCUGUAGUGAAGUUAAUCAUUUGCAUAUACUGUUUUUCUUCCAAUAUUUUGUAGGGAUACACACUUGGGUUCUGGGAGGGUUGUGGGGGUGUUAAUCAAAUAUUUUCCUAGAAUUUUUUUCACACAGCUUCGUGGAAAGCAGCAUUUUAAAGAUCCAAAUGGCUAGCGUUGAGGUUUGAGGAGCAAGGAGUCAACCUGGUGGUCCACGUCUUUCGGGUUUCCUUUUGCCUUGUGGUGUGGAUAUUCCUUGGUGUCUACAAUGGUGUAGCAGGAGGCGGGCCACAUUUUGGGAUGUGAACUUGCGUUGUUCUCKCAGGGAGUGUGGUAACCCUUAACUUUUAGGCUGAUGCAUUUUAUAUCCUGGAGUUGAAAUUUGCAUUUGGGGUUUCUGGGUUCAGGGGAGGGCUUAACUGUGACUCUUCCAGAUUAUGACCCACCCCUCAAUGAAAGAAACUGGAGGUCUACAUCUCCCCCGUCUUAAGGAGAACAGCUGAUGCCUUGAGGCCAGUGGUAUUUAACUGUUUCUUGUGGAAAGUUAUUGACUUGGUGUUAGUGAAUUUGUGUAUUUUAAUUGUAUUUUAGCAACUGUUAAUACAAUUUUGAUAGUGGGUUGAUUACUGUCUGGGUUUGUAUGGGUGGGAAUGGUGGAAGUCUUGUUUUCCCUUUUGCGUUUUCCAGUGUGCUGUGUCCUACGCUUUCAAUACUGAAGAUCAACAGGAACGCCCCUAACUCAUUGUAUGUAGAGGUUUACUAUUGCUUCAAAACACCUCAUUAGGUCUCAAGUAAGGUCCCGUACAAAUGUUUUUAUAUUUCAUUAAUAUUACAUUUGGCAACUUCCCUUAAUUGCACUCCUUUGCAAAUUAGUUAAAUGUUUUGUAUUGAUGCAACUGAACUCUGUCAAGGAAUCAUAAUUGGUAAUAAAUGCAUAGCUUGUUGUGAUUGAAGACAGUUUUGGUAUGCAUUUGUUAUUCUGGGCGACUCUUGUGUGGGGGCUUUUCUUGUGCUUUUUCAGGUAUGACUUAGCUUGGUGCUUUUAGAUCACGGAAGUGACCUGGGCUUGAUGGCAGCUCUUACAAGGUGGAAAGUGACGGUUUCAGAUAAGUUCAAUCCAGCUUGUAUCAUGUCCAAAAGUGGGAAAAUUCAUGACAUGGCACCUGGUUGUCUGAAUGGGCCCUAUUGCGCCUCAGUUGAUUGGUCUUCAAUAGAGAAGCAUCUACUUAGCAAUACAACAACUCCGCCACUACUUGUGGUAUGUAGAAGUUGCACUGCUGUGCUUUCACUGAGUGCAAAUCUCUUUGGAGACGUCAACUCAAACUGUUAUGCUAAUUAUAUGAAGCAUAUUUUGUCUACGGG